GACCAGCUGCUGCCGGUAGUCUGUCCGACACCGUUGCCACCGCAUCAUAUCAUCAUCAUCUUCAUCGUCGUUUUAGUAAUAUAAAUAUAAUAUAGUGCAGUACUUGCGUCGGAUUAAUUUACCAGAAAAAUUCCAACAGAUUUACAACCAAGUAAACCUCUAAACAUCAAACAGACAUGACGUACUACUCUACCAGGUGCACGCCCACCGUACGACCGGCAUCCGAUUUCAACGCUAACGUCGACGCCGAAAACCUGAGGAAAGCAAUGAAAGGAUUUGGAACCGACGAACAAACCAUCAUCGAUAUCCUGGCCCGAAGAUCUAACACCCAAAGACAGGAAAUCAAGGACGCGUUCAAGACCCUCUACGGAAAGGACUUGAUUGACAAUUUGAAGAGCGAACUCGGUGGGAAUUUCGAAAACGCCAUUGUGGCUCUGAUGACUCCACUUCCGGAAUUCUACGCCAAAGAACUUCACGACUCCAUUACGGGUUUGGGCACUGACGAAGAAGCUAUUGCGGAAAUCCUGGGCACGCUCAGCAAUUACGGUGUGAGAACCAUAUCGGCCGUGUACGAAAAAUUGUACGGUAGACCGUUGGAGGACGACUUAAAGGGCGACACUUCGGGAUCUUUCCAGAGAUUGCUGGUGUCUUUGUGUUGCGCAAACCGCGAGGAAGACGUUGAAGUCGAUCGUAGCGCCGCCGUCGCCGACGCCGAGUCUUUGAUCGCAGCAGGCGAAUCUCAAUGGGGCACCGACGAAUCUGCUUUCAACGCCAUUUUGGUUAGCCGGUCCUAUCCUCAGCUAAGGGCCAUCUUCGAAGAAUACGAGAAUUUGACCGGCAAGGACAUUGUGGAAACCAUCAAAGGCGAGACGUCCGGCGCUUUGGAACACGGUUUCUUGACAAUCGUGAAAAGCGCCAAGAAAAAGAGCGACUACUAUGCGGAACGCUUGGAAAGUUCCAUGGCCGGUAUGGGAACCAACGAUGGUCAGCUGAUUAGAAUCAUCGUGGGAAGAUCCGAAAUUGAUUUGGGAGAUAUCAAACAGGCCUACGAGAAAAUUUAUGGCACCCCGUUGGCCGACAGAAUUGCUGGAGAUACCUCUGGGGAUUACAAGCGCCUGAUAUUAGCACUUGUAGGCCAAUAAUGCUUUGCAAUAUGCAUGCGAGGUUGGUUGUUCUUAUUUUACCUGUACCGCCAUAUUUGCCACUUCAUAGCGAAUGUAGUUCGGACUUCAAAAAAGUACUCAUCACACUCGUGACACAAUAAAUCGUUCAUUUUUUAAUUUACAUAAUAUUUUGUUUAUAAUUAUAUUAUAAACUGCACUAUUAGUUGUUUGGUUGUUUUUAAUAUGUAAUAUUUUACAUCUACACGUUUAAUUAAUAUUACACAUUGAUACGGCUACAUCAAAGUUUACUAGUUUAUAUUUUGAUCAAGAUAUAUUAUUAUAAAAUUAUAUUAUGUUUUGUUAAUUUUUUUACAUUUUUCACAAAUGUUAAGUUUAAAUAUUUUUGCCAACAUUUUUUU